ensembl:snRNA U6 U6 spliceosomal RNA
AUGCCCACUCCUGCAGCACUUAUACUAAAAUUGGGACUAUACAGAGAUGAAUAUGGCCUGUGCUCAAGAAUGACAUCCAAAUUUGUGAAGCAGUCCAUAUUUUU